rnacentral:misc_RNA from 1 species
GAAAUGCGAUAAGUAAUGUGAAUUGCAGAAUUCAGUGAAUCAUCGAAUCUUUGAACGCACAUUGCGCCCGCCAGCACUCUGGCGGGCAUGCCUGUCCGAGCGUCAUUUCCACCCUCAGGCCCCCGUGGCCUGGCGUUGGGGCUCCUGUAGGCCUAGGCCUCACAGGCCCCGAAGACCAGUGGCGGGCUCGCCUGGACUCCGAGCGCAGUAAUUACUCCACGCUCAGGGGGCCCCGGGCGGGUCCGGCCGUUAAACCCCCCCAAUCUUUCAGAAGGUUGACCUCGGAUCAGGUAGGAAUACCCGCUGAACUUAA